rnacentral:rRNA from 1 species
AAACUUGAGAGUUUGAUCCUGGCUCAGAACGAACGCUGGCGGCAUGCCUAACACAUGCAAGUCGAACGAAGGCUUCGGCCUUAGUGGCGCACGGGUGCGUAACGCGUGGGAAUCUGCCCCUCGGUUCGGAAU